rnacentral:rRNA from 1 species
CAGUCGCCGCGGUAAUACGUAGGGUGCGAGCGUUAAUCGGAAUUACUGGGCGUAAAGCGUGCGCAGGCGGUUUUGUAAGACAGGCGUGAAAUCCCCGGGCUCAACCUGGGAAUGGCGCUUGUGACUGCAAAGCUAGAGUGCGGCAGAGGGGGAUGGAAUUCCGCGUGUAGCAGUGAAAUGCGUAGAUAUGCGGAGGAACACCGAUGGAGAAGGCAAUCCUCUGGGCCUGCACUGACGCUCAUGCACGAAAGCGUGGGGAGCAAACAGGAUUAGAUACCCCUGUAGUCCCUGUCUCUUAUAC